rnacentral:rRNA from 1 species
UCAAGUCGAGCGGGGAAGGGUAGCUUGCUACCUGAGCUAGCGGCGGACGGGUGAGUAAUGCUUAUGAAUCUGCCUAUUAUUGGGGGACAACAUUCCGAAAGGAAUGCUAAUACCGCAUACGCCCUACGGGGGAAAGCAGGGGAUCUUCGGACCUUGCGCUAAUAGAUGAGCCUAAGUCAGAUUAGCUAGUUGGUGGGGUAAAGGCCUACCAAGGCGACGAUCUGUAGCGGGUCUGAGAGGAUGAUCCGCCACACUGGGACUGAGACACGGCCCAGACUCCUACGGGAGGCAGCAGUGGGGAAUAUUGGACAAUGGGCGAAAGCCUGAUCCAGCCAUGCCGCGUGUGUGAAGAAGGCCUUUUGGUUGUAAAGCACUUUAAGCGAGGAGGAGGCUACUUGGAUUAAUACUCUAGGAUAGUGGACGUUACUCGCAGAAUAAGCACCGGCUAACUCUGUGCCAGCAGCCGCGGUAAUACAGAGGGUGCGAGCGUUAAUCGGAUUUACUGGGCGUAAAGCGUGCGUAGGCGGCUUCUUAAGUCGGAUGUGAAAUCCCUGAGCUUAACUUAGGAAUUGCAUUCGAUACUGGGAAGCUAGAGUAUGGGAGAGGAUGGUAGAAUUCCAGGUGUAGCGGUGAAAUGCGUAGAGAUCUGGAGGAAUACCGAUGGCGAAGGCAGCCAUCUGGCCUAAACUGACGCUGAGGUACGAAAGCAUGGGGAGCAACAGGAUUAGAUACCUGGUAGUCCUGCCGUAACGAUGUCUACUAUCCGUUGGGCCUUGAGGCUUUGUGGCGCAGCUACGCGAUAGUAGACCGCCUGGGGAUACGGUCGCAGACUAAACUCAAUGAUUGACGGGGCCGCACAGCGGGGAGCUGUGUUUAUUCGAGCACGCGAGAACUUACCGGUCUGACUAUAAGACUUUCAAAAUGAU